rnacentral:rRNA from 1 species
GGUUAAGCGACUAAGCGUACACGGUGGAUGCCCUGGCAGUCAGAGGCGAUGAAGGACGUGCUAAUCUGCGAAAAGCGCCGGCGAGGUGAUAUGAACCCUUGACCCGGCGAUGUCCGAAUGGGGAAACCCAGUGCAAUCCGUUGCACUAUCGUUAACUGAAUACAUAGGUUAACGAGGCGAACCGGGGGAACUGAAACAUCUAAGUACCCCGAGGAAAAGAAAUCAACCGAGAUUCCCCCAGUAGCGGCGAGCGAACGGGGAGCAGCCCGGAGUCUGAAUCAGCUUGUGUGUUAGUGGAACGGUCUGGAAAGUCCGACGGUACAGGGUGAUAGUCCCGUACACGAAAAUGCACAGGUUGUGAACUCGAAGAGUAGGGCGGGACACGUGGUAUCCUGUCUGAAUAUGGGGGGACCAUCCUCCAAGGCUAAAUACUCCUGACUGACCGAUAGUGAACCAGUACCGUGAGGGAAAGGCGAAAAGAACCCCGGCGAGGGGAGUGAAAAAGAACCUGAAACCGUGUACGUACAAGCAGUGGGAGCCUCUUUAUGGGGUGACUGCGUACCUUUUGUAUAAUGGGUCAGCGACUUAUAUUCUGUAGCAAGGUUAACCGUAUAGGGGAGCCGAAGGGAAACCGAGUCUUAACUGGGCGUUAAGUUGCAGGGUAUAGACCCGAAACCCGGUGAUCUAGCCAUGGGCAGGUUGAAGGUUGGGUAACACUAACUGGAGGACCGAACCGACUAAUGUUGAAAAAUUAGCGGAUGACCUGUGGCUGGGGGUGAAAGGCCAAUCAAACCGGGAGAUAGCUGGUUCUCCCCGAAAGCUAUUUAGGUAGCGCCUCGUGAAUUCAUCUUCGGGGGUAGAGCACUGUUUCGGCUAGGGGGCCAUCCCGGCUUACCAACCCGAUGCAAACUACGAAUACCGAAGAAUGUUAUCACGGGAGACACACGGCGGGUGCUAACGUCCGUCGUGAAGAGGGAAACAACCCAGACCGCCAGCUAAGGUCCCAAAGUCAUGGUUAAGUGGGAAACGAUGUGGGAAGGCACAGACAGCCAGGAUGUUGGCUUAGAAGCAGCCAUCAUUUAAAGAAAGCGUAAUAGCUCACUGGUCGAGUCGGCCUGCGCGGAAGAUGUAACGGGGCUAAACCAUGCACCGAAGCUGCGGCAGCGACACUAUGUGUUGUUGGGUAGGGGAGCGUUCUGUAAGCCGUUGAAGGUGUGCUGUGAGGCAUGCUGGAGGUAUCAGAAGUGCGAAUGCUGACAUAAGUAACGAUAAAGCGGGUGAAAAGCCCGCUCGCCGGAAGACCAAGGGUUCCUGUCCAACGUUAAUCGGGGCAGGGUGAGUCGACCCCUAAGGCGAGGCCGAAAGGCGUAGUCGAUGGGAAACAGGUUAAUAUUCCUGUACUUGGUGUUACUGCGAAGGGGGGACGGAGAAGGCUAUGUCAGCCGGGCGACGGUUGUCCCGGUUUAAGCAUGUAGGCGGAGGUUCCAGGUAAAUCCGGUACCUUUUAACGCUGAGGUGUGAUGACGAGGCACUACGGUGCUGAAGUGAUAAAUGCCCUGCUUCCAGGAAAAGCCUCUAAGCAUCAGGUAACACGAAAUCGUACCCCAAACCGACACAGGUGGUCAGGUAGAGAAUACCAAGGCGCUUGAGAGAACUCGGGUGAAGGAACUAGGCAAAAUGGUGCCGUAACUUCGGGAGAAGGCACGCUGAUGUGUAGGUGAAGCCCCUGCGGGCGGAGCUGAAAUCAGUCGAAGAUACCAGCUGGCUGCAACUGUUUAUUAAAAACACAGCACUGUGCAAACACGAAAGUGGACGUAUACGGUGUGACGCCUGCCCGGUGCCGGAAGGUUAAUUGAUGGGGUUAGCGGCAACGCGAAGCUCUUGAUCGAAGCCCCGGUAAACGGCGGCCGUAACUAUAACGGUCCUAAGGUAGCGAAAUUCCUUGUCGGGUAAGUUCCGACCUGCACGAAUGGCGUAAUGAUGGCCAGGCUGUCUCCACCCGAGACUCAGUGAAAUUGAACUCGCUGUGAAGAUGCAGUGUACCCGCGGCAAGACGGAAAGACCCCGUGAACCUUUACUAUAGCUUGACACUGAACACUGGUCCUUGAUGUGUAGGAUAGGUGGGAGGCUUUGAAGCGUGGACGCCAGUCUGCGUGGAGCCAACCUUGAAAUACCACCCUUUAAUGGCUGGUGUUCUAACGUGGACCCGUUACCCGGGUUGCGGACAGUGUCUGGUGGGUAGUUUGACUGGGGCGGUCUCCUCCCAAAGAGUAACGGAGGAGCACGAAGGUUGGCUAAUCCUGGUCGGACAUCAGGAGGUUAGUGCAAUGGCAUAAGCCAGCUUGACUGCGAGCGUGACGGCGCGAGCAGGUGCGAAAGCAGGUCAUAGUGAUCCGGUGGUUCUGAAUGGAAGGGCCAUCGCUCAACGGAUAAAAGGUACUCCGGGGAUAACAGGCUGAUACCGCCCAAGAGUUCAUAUCGACGGCGGUGUUUGGCACCUCGAUGUCGGCUCAUCACAUCCUGGGGCUGAAGUAGGUCCCAAGGGUAUGGCUGUUCGCCAUUUAAAGUGGUACGCGAGCUGGGUUUAGAACGUCGUGAGACAGUUCGGUCCCUAUCUGCCGUGGGCGCUGGAGAAUUGAGGGGGGCUGCUCCUAGUACGAGAGGACCGGAGUGGACGCAUCACUGGUGUUCGGGUUGUCAUGCCAAUGGCACUGCCCGGUAGCUAAAUGCGGAAGAGAUAAGUGCUGAAAGCAUCUAAGCACGAAACUUGCCCCGAGAUGAGUUCUCCCUGAGACUUUAAGUCUCCUGAAGGAACGUUGAAGACGACGACGUUGAUAGGUCGGGUGUGUAAGCGCAGCGAUGCGUUGAGCUAACCGAUACUAAUGAACCGUGAGGCUUAACCUU